AUGAACGCUGGCGGCAUGCCUUACACAUGCAAGUCGAACGGCAGCGCGGGAGCAAUCCUGGCGGCGAGUGGCGAACGGGUGAGUAAUAUAUCGGAACGUGCCCUGGAGUGGGGGAUAACUAGUCGAAAGAUUAGCUAAUACCGCAUACGAUCUACGGAUGAAAGUGGGGGAUCUGCAAGGACCUCAUGCUCGUGGAGCGGCCGAUAUCUGAUUAGUUAGUUGGUGGGGUAAAGGCCUACCAAGGCGACGAUCAUUAGCUGGUUUGAGAGAACGAACAGCCACACUGGUCACUGAGACACGGCC
rnacentral:rRNA from 1 species